rnacentral:rRNA from 1 species
UACGUAGGGUGCAAGCGUUAAUCGGAAUUACUGGGCGUAAAGCGCGCGCAGGCGGCUGUUUAAGACAGAUGUGAAAUCCCCGGGCUUAACCUGGGAAUGGCAUUUGGGACUGCAAGGCUCGAGUGCGGCAGAGGAGACUGGAAUUCCUGGUGUAGCAGUGAAAUGCGUAGAUAUCAGGAGGAACACCGAUGGCGAAGGCAGGUCUCUGGGCUGACACUGACGCUCAUGCACGAAAGCGUGGGGAGCAAACAGG